rnacentral:rRNA from 1 species
GACAGCAGCCGCCGCGGUAAUACGGAGGGGGCUAGCGUUGUUCGGAAUUACUGGGCGUAAAGCGCACGUAGGCGGCUUGGUAAGUUAGAGGUGAAAGCCUGGAGCUCAACUCCAGAAUUGCCUUUAAGACUGCCGAGCUAGCAGGUGAGAGAGGUAAGUGGAAUUCCGAGCGUAGAGGUGAAAUUCUUAGAUAUUCGGAAGAACACCAGUGGCGAAGGCGGCUUACUGGCUCAUACUGGACGCUGAGGUGCGAAAGCGUGGGGAGCAAACAGGAUUAGAUACCCGCGUAGUCCCUGUCUCUUAUAC